CAAUAGCGUAUAUUAAAGUUGUUGCAGUUAAAAAGCUCGUAGUUGGAUUUCUGCUGAGGACGAUCGGUCCGCCCACUGGGUGAGUAUCUGGCUCGGCCUUGGCGUCUUCUUGGAGAACGUUGCUGCACUUGACUGUGUGGCGCGGUAUCCAGGACUUUUACUUUGAGGAAAUUAGAGUGUUUCAAGCAGGCGCACGCCUUGAAUACAUUAGCAUGGAAUAAUGAGAUAGGACCUUGGUUCUAUUUUGUUGGUUUCUAGAGCUGAGGUAAUGAUUAAUAGGGAUAGUUGGGGGCAUUCGUAUUUAACUGUCAGAGGUGAAAUUCUUGGAUUUGUUAAAGAUGGACUACUGCGAAAGCAUUUGCCAAGGAUGUUUUCAUUGA
rnacentral:rRNA from 1 species